GCCAUUUAGUCUCUGAGUGAAGCUGAAAACACAGCAGGCAGACGGCUCAGCCACUCCCUGUUCCCUGAAAGUUACUUUCACUUUGAGUCUUUGUUCUUGUAAAACUCUGGUUCAGUUUGUGGAUUCAGCAGCUGGUUGAAGUGGUAGUAUUCCAGUAUUCCCAGUAUUCCCUCCUGUAGAUGUCCUCUCUCAGUGGAAGUGGUGGUUUUGGUCUGAAGGUGAAUCUUAUCGUCCGUCUCUCAGUGUGUGUGUCUUGACAGUAAAACAGAAUAACAACCUGUUUCCUGGUUU